rnacentral:rRNA from 1 species
GACGAACGCUGGCGGCGUGCCUAAUACAUGCAAGUAGAACGCAGUUGCGAACGGGUGAGUAACGCGUAGGUAACUGCCUCAUAGCGGGGGAUAACUAUUGGAAACGAUAGCUAAUACCGCAUACUGUGAGAUGGACCUGCGUUGUAUUAGCUAGUUGGUGAGGUAAAGGCUCACAAAGGCGACGAUACAUAGCCGACCUGAGAGGGUGGUCGGCCACACUGGGAAUGAGACACGGCCCAGACUCCGACGGGAGGCAGCAGUGGGGAAGAUUGCACAAUGGGCGCAAGCCUGAUGCAGCCAGGCCGCGUGUAUGAAGAAGGCCUUCGGGUUGUAAAGUACUUUCAGCGAGGAGGCGUUACUCGCAGAAGAAGCACCGGCUAACUCCGUGCCAGCCGCCGCGGUAAUAC